GCAUUGGUGGGUCAAUGGUAGAAUUCUCACCUUCCAUGCAAGAGACCUGGGUUCCAUUCCCGGCCAGUGCA
rnacentral:tRNA from 1 species